rnacentral:rRNA from 1 species
ACUCAAAGGAAUAGACGGGGGCCCGCACAAGCGGCGGAGCAUGUGGAUUAAUUCGAUGCAACGCGAAGAACCUUACCUGGGCUUGACAUGCAUCAGACGACUGCAGAGAUGUGGUUUCCCUUGUGGUUGGUGUACAGGUGGUGCAUGGCUGUCGUCAGCUCGUGUCGUGAGAUGUUGGGUUAAGUCCCGCAACGAGCGCAACCCUCGUUCCAUGUUGCCAGCGCGUGAUGGCGGGGACUCAUGGGAGACUGCCGGGGUCAACUCGGAGGAAGGUGGGGAUGACGUCAAGUCAUCAUGCCCCUUAUGUCCAGGGCUUCACACAUGCUACAAUGGCCGGUACAGAGGGUUGCGAGACCGUGAGGUGGAGCGAAUCCCUUAAAGCUGGUCUCAGUUCGGAUCGGGGUCUGCAACUCGACCCCGUGAAGUCGGAGUCGCUAGUAAUCGCAGAUCAGCAACGCUGCGGUGAAUACGUUCCCGGGCCUUGUACACACCGCCCGU